AUGGCGGAGAUGCUGAGCCUGCAGCUGCUGACUCUCUGGCUGGUGUGUCACGCAGACAGCACUCCAGCUGCUGCCCGCUCAUCUCCUUGGGCUCCCAAGAAGUCCGAGGACCCAGUCAGCCACGCUUCCUCAGUCUCCCCAGCCUCCAACCCCAGGCCGUGGCUGGGUGCUCAGCCGGCUGCAGUUGUGACCCCCGGGGUCAAUGUCACCUUGAGAGGCGGGGAGCCAAAUGUCUGGUCCCACCCCAGUGAUGCCCUGGAACUGCUGGUAACAGGUGAGGUCCUGGGGGAGCGGGGUGUGCAGAAGGGACACAGGUGGGGUGGAGGGGCAAGGAGGGAUCCACGUAGGUAUGGAGAGGAGCUCGCACAAGGCCACACACGGAGAGUUACACAGAGAGACACAGAGAGAGCACUCUCAGGUGGGGUACUUAUGCCUCCCCUGACCCGCCCGCCGAGUCUGGCAGAGUCUGGAGACAUUUCUGCUUGUCCUGACGGGGGAAGGGUGUGCUGCCAGCGUCACAGGGGUUAGAGGCUAGAGAUGUUAUAACACCCUGUGUACAGGGCAGCCCACCCCCCCGCAACACCCACCCCCAAAGAAUCAUCCAGGUUUAUCCGAAAAUGUCGCUAACGGGAAUCUCCCCGGGUCCAGUGGUUAGGUUUCCAAACAUUGACUGCCAAGGGUGCAGGUUCAAUCCCUGAUGGGGGAAGUGAGAGCCCCUAAGAAACGGAGAAACCCUGGGGGAGAGACAGCCUCUGAGCCCCACGCGGGAGUGAAACACGCACGACAGGAGGGGUAAAAACGGAGCAUUUUAGUGAGCACAGGGACAGAGGGAAAGAGUGGGAGGGAGAGGGAGGCAGACACACAGGGGCUGGGAGAGACAGGGGCCGGACACGGAGGAGCUGAG
rnacentral:lncRNA from 1 species